rnacentral:rRNA from 1 species
GACGAACGCUGGCGGCAUGCUUAACACAUGCAAGUCGAACGGGAAGUCCCUGCUCUUGUGGCGUACUCGAGUGUCGAACGUGUGAGUCACCCGUGAGUAACCUGCCCUUGACUUUGGGAUAACUUUAGGAACCUGGGGCUAAUACCGCAUAGGAGCUCCUCCUCCAUGGUGGGGGUUGGAAAGUUUCGGCGGUGGGGGAUGGACAGGCGGCUUCUCAGCUUGUUGGUGGUGUAGUGGCUUACCAAGGCUUUGACGGGUAGCCGGCCGGAGAGGGUGACCGGCCGCAAUGGGGGGGCGGAGCCGCGGAGAAUACUACGGGAGGCAGCAGUGGGGAAUAAUGCACCGUGGGGGGAGGCCGGAUGAAGGAACGACGCGGGGGGGAGGACGGCCGUCGGGUUGUAGACAGCUUUCGCCUGUGGCGAAGAGUGAGUGACGGUAUUGGGUAAAGAAGCACCGGCUAACUCCGUG